GGCAGUUCUCGGGUGAUGCACCCUGGAAUCGGGCUCCUUCCUCUAUGGUUCCGGGUGUGUCACCCAAGAACCGCA
rfam:Myotis davidii contig54323, whole genome shotgun sequence.